GGCAAGGUGGCCGAGUGGUUAAGGCGAUAGACUCGAAUAGGUCCGUUUAUCGGGCUGUCAUCGGUCAUCUAUUGGGUUCGCCCGCGUAGGUUCAAAUCCUGCCCUUGUCG
rnacentral:tRNA from 1 species